rnacentral:rRNA from 1 species
UACGUAGGGGGCGAGCGUUGUCCGGAUUCAUUGGGCGUAAAGCGCUUUAAGGCGGUUCGGUAAGUCGGGUGUGAAACCUCCAGCUCAACCUGGAGACGCCACUCGAUACUGCUGUGACUAGAGUUCGGUAGGGGAUCACGGAAUUCCUGGUGUAGCGGUGAAAUGCGCAGAUAUCAGGAAGAACACCCGUGGCUAAGGCGGUUCUCUAGUACGGUACUGACGCUGAGACGCGAAAGCGUGGGGAGCGAACAGG